UACGUAGGGUGCGAGCGUUAAUCGGAAUUACUGGGCGUAAAGCGUGCGCAGGCGGUGAUGUAAGACAGUUGUGAAAUCCCCGGGCUCAACCUGGGAAUUGCAUCUGUGACUGCAUCGCUAGAGUACGGUAGAGGGGGAUGGAAUUCCGCGUGUAGCAGUGAAAUGCGUAGAUAUGCGGAGGAACACCGAUGGCGAAGGCAAUCCCCUGGACCUGUACUGACGCUGAGGCUCGAAAGCGUGGGGAUCAAACAGG
rnacentral:rRNA from 1 species